UACAGAGGUCCCAAGCGUUGUUCGGAUUCAUUGGGCGUAAAGGGUGCGUAGGCGGCGCGGGAAGUCGGGUGUGAAAUCUCGGAGCUUAACUCCGAAACUGCAUUCGAUACUGCGGUGCUUGAGGACUGGAGAGGAGACUGGAAUUCAUGGUGUAGCAGUGAAAUACGUAGAGAUCAUGAGGAAGACCAGUGGCGAAGGCGGGUCUCUGGACAGUUCCUGACACUGAGACACGAAGGCCAGGGGAGCAAACGGG
rnacentral:rRNA from 1 species